rnacentral:rRNA from 1 species
GGAGUUUGGGCCGUGUCUCAGUCCCAAUGUGGCCGUUCACCCUCUCAGGCCGGCUACUGAUCGUCGCUUUGGUGGGCCGUUACCCCGCCAACUGGCUAAUCAGACGCGGGUCCAUCUCAUACCACCGGAGUUUUUCACACUGCAUCAUGCGAUGCUGUGCGCUUAUGCGGUAUUAUCAACCGUUUCCAGUUGUUAUCCCCCUGUAUGAGGCAGGUUACCCACGCGUUACUCACCCGUCCGCCACUCGAUUGGUCGGUGCAAGCACCUUCCUCUCUCGUUCGACUUGCAUGUGUUAGGCACGCCGCCAGCGUUCAUC